AUUGAUUAUGACGUACUUGUACUGAUUGAGAUUUUAACACGAAGUGAGUGGCGAACGGGUGAGUAACACGUGGGUAACCUGCCCAGAAGUAGGGGAUAACACCUGGAAACAGAUGCUAAUACCGUAUAACAGAGAAAACCGCAUGGUUUUCUUUUAAAAGAUGGCUCUGCUAUCACUUCUGGAUGGACCCGCGGCGUAUUAGCUAGUUGGUGAGGUAAAGGCUCACCAAGGCAGUGAUACGUAGCCGACCUGAGAGGGUAAUCGGCCACAUUGGGACUGAGACACGGCCCAGACUCCUACGGGAGGCAGCAGUAGGGAAUCUUCCACAAUGGACGCAAGUCUGAUGGAGCAACGCCGCGUGAGUGAAGAAGGGUUUCGGCUCGUAAAGCUCUGUUGUUAAAGAAGAACGUGGGUAAGAGUAACUGUUUACCCAGUGACGGUAUUUAACCAGAAAGCCACGGCUAACUACGUGCCAGCAGCCGCGGUAAUACGUAGGUGGCAAGCGUUAUCCGGAUUUAUUGGGCGUAAAGCGAGCGCAGGCGGUCUUUUAAGUCUAAUGUGAAAGCCUUCGGCUCAACCGAAGAAGUGCAUUGGAAACUGGGAGACUUGAGUGCAGAAGAGGACAGUGGAACUCCAUGGUU
rnacentral:rRNA from 1 species